AUUAGCGUUUGCCUGCAGAUGACCAUUAUUAGUCAAUCAUUUCAAAUUGAUGGGCAGCGAAGUGAAUGAAUAAAUCAAAACUAUCGAAUUCCUUUAGUCCGGUAUUUCAUUCCUUCGUCCAUCAGGUCCGUGAUGGAAUUAUUGCCGAAUCGAAAUUUCAUUCUAUGGCUUGAGCUUCGGUAGUUGAAAGCUCUUCAAUUGGUACUUCUGUAGAGGUCGGCGAAGAUGAACCCUUUAUGUUGCUAUUUGAUGUUCAUCAGAUGGACUUCGGUAAACCGUAUUUUGGGCCU
rnacentral:lncRNA from 1 species